AAUCCUCCCAUACGUGGAUUUAGAACAUCAAAUCCACUUAUAGUGCUUCCGUUCCCCUCCUCGGGGAAUGAAAGGUUACUUUAGUAACCUCGAACGUUUCAUUUCCAAGCAGGGUUGCUACAUGCAAGGAAACUGUAGUGCACAAGUAUUUGAAACACUCGGCUCUCAAAAACAGCUCUCAGUGAGUAAGAAUAGCCUGUGUCUCACAGUGUGUAUGAUCAAGCUCUCAUUUGGUAUUCAUCUGCUAUCUUUUGUUUUGCAUAAACACAGUUGUUUUUGUCAAUCAUGCUGCUUCUCGAUUCUAAAAUCUCAUUUGCUGUUCCACUCAUUACUGUGUAUACAACUAACUUUGAAAAUUUUUUUUAUUUUUUUUUAAAUCGCAUUUGCAUGCAUAUUGACAAACGGUCAAAAACUAAAAUUAUAAUCUUCAGUAAUAAGCCAGCACUGACCUGGUCAGGACACUGACAAUCAUGUCUACCGUCCCAAUAACUGGACAUCCUUAUUGCUGAACCCUGCUUUUAAGAAAACUACAAUUAAAAAAAUAUUUUCAACCAGCCAAAGUGGCUAGUGGGAAUGGCUGUCUUUACCCGCCACAGCUGAAAUCUACCUGCAUUUGGUGGUUUGGUAAGUAUUAAUGUCAAGCCCUAAUCACAACUAUAAUCACUAUGUAAUACUAUGUAAUAUUAUAUGAAGGCAGAAAGUGAAAAACGCUUGAUUCAAAUGGUCCAAAAUAGUUGUCAUUACUUCACUUUGCAAUUUCUAGUAUUGCCUUCUUUUCACCGUCAUUUAAUAAUUUUGCAACUUUUCAGUCCAAGUUAUAUUUUUAUCAGUAAAACACCUUAAUUUAAAGCAUUUUUCACUUUGAGUGUAUUCAGAAAAUUAUAAAUCAAUAAUGAAUGAUAAAUACAAAAGUAGCAGUGGUUCAAUGUAUCUGAAUAUUAACUUGCAUCAUUAUUUUGCAUAAUAUGUAGUUUGUGUAUUUGAAUCAUGCACAUAAACAACCGAAAUUUAAUAUGUGUCAUUCAACAUUAUGGGGCUCUAGGUUCUUGCAGCUUUAAAAAAAAAUUACCUGAUAGUGGAGUUCAUUCACGAAGGGAGUACCGGACCUGUCGCAAAGUCUUGGUACUCAGAGGGUCACUCGUGGUGGCCUCCAUACAAGGAGAUUGAAGAGUGUCCGGUUGAUGGAGGCACCACAACCAGAUAAAGGUUGGACCAAGCAUCAGGCCAGAAUUCUACGAGUCAGCAUCUUUUGACAAGAUUUCAAAGAAAUGGAAACAGGCAUGCUACACAUCUGACAUCUCGGAAUCUGAAAUGCCUGCAAAAAGAAUUCCCAAAAAGAAAAUAUACACAUCAGAUGAUGAGCCUUGCGAUACUUCCUACAAAAAAAAAGAAACUAAAUAAAGAAAAAAGUCUACCAACACCAAGGGUCCCACCUGCACCAAAAGCUCCAACACCCCGAAAACAUAUCAGGGCAAAAGCAUUUGUCCGUGACCACCAAAAAGCUACAGAAAAGCAACAGCAGGCCUGUUUUGAAAUUCCCUCCACUAGUCAAGCUCCAGAUGUACCUGUGAGGUUCUGCCAGGAAGUGGAGCACCAAGACACUUGGGAUAAACCCCAACCUGAAAAUUAAGAGGACACAUUUUCUGUGCUGCGGCCUUUACAAGACAGAGCACCACACAACAUACUCUGUCCAAGAUCCAAAGCCAUCAGCAGAUCAAAGAAAAAUGCAGACACCAGUUUUUCCAAUAAGCAUGUCCCAUGUAAAUGAGCAAGAAAAUGCUUGGGGGGACCACCCAUCGAGCUAUCGAGAAGACACAACUUCUGAGCUGAGACCCUCAAGUACCCAGGCAAGAGCGAAGAAUGCUUCUGGUAUCAGCUGAUGGAGCUGCAUCUCCAGUCAAUACACACCUGUGGAGAGGGUAAUUUUGGAGAAGCUUAAUGAGCUGGACGUGAAGAUUACCCAUCUAACUUCAGUGGUCCAGUCCCUUGCCCCUCGGUAAAGUGGUCAAAUGGAGGUGGACACUGAGGAUGACACCUUUCCUAUUGAAACAAUGGAGGACCUUGAACAACUGAAAAGGCAAUUAGCUGAAAAACCAAUGAUGGAGAAGAUGAUGAAGAGGUUAUCCAUCAGAGGAGGACAAACUCUAAAAAAAAACAUUUGGCGUGUAUGCUCCAAAGUGUUUGGUCCAGUGGCCAAACAGCUCAACUGGUGUGGAAGAGGAGAUAAAAGAGGCCUAAAAAACACAAAUAUUGGGACACUUGUGAUAGGUGCAGCUAUGAGGAACCCCGUGCUUCCGUCUCCAACAGAGGCAGAAGCCGAAAAAUAUUUGAAAGACUUUCUCCGCUUGGCCCCAGGAAGAAUGGCCUCUUAAGCGAGUUGCUAUUUUUUAUUUAUUUUUUUGCUGCAAUUGGUUUUGUUUGCUUCAAAAAAUAUGAAUUCUAAUCAAUUAUAAUAUAAUAAAAUUCUACAAAUGA